AUUUUUUCAUUUGUUCCAUAUUUCCCUCACUUUCACCGUAUAAUCCAAAAGGGGAACAAAAAAACCCUAACCUAAUUUACUCCAAUCUCUCUCAACUCACUCUCCGUCUCUCUCAACUCUCGAUCUCUCUCAACUCACUCUCGGUGAUCUCUCUCAACCCACUCUCCGUCUCUCUCAACUCUCGAUCUCUCUCAACUCACUCUCGGUCUCUCUGAACUCUCGAUCUCUCUCAACUCACUCUCGGUCUCUCCCAACUCAAUCCGUCGAAGGUUCUUGAAUCGGGUGAAGCAGGUUACCAUGAUAUGAUAGAAUGUGUGGAAACCCUUGCAAAGCUACUGGAGUGAAGGCAGAAGAAAUAUUAGUUGAAUCUACCGGUGUAAUUGGUCAAAGGAUAAAGAAGAGAAGUGAGCGCGUUAAAGGAAAUGUUAGCUUCUUCGUCCAGGAAUGCUCCAAUUGACGAAACUAAUCCUCACGAGGACUCAACUAAUUCUAAUAAUGGGGACACAAACGCAAAUUAGAUAACAAAGCAACUCUGUACAGUUUAGGGACUGAUUUUGCGUAACUCGGAUGGCGAAACAGUCUGAAGUGCAUGCAAAAGAGAAGACUUUAUGUUGAUCUGCUUAUGGCUGAAGCGCUGGGUGGGGUUUUGUUGGCUGAAGCGCUGAAGACUUUCUAUUCAUUUUGAUGCUGCUAAUGUGGUAAACUGUAUUUAUAGAAAAUCUAGCUUUGCUGCUAUUAAUUUAAUUGUCAAGGAUUGUAGGAAGUUAAUGACUAGGUUGACAAAUGUAUAUGUUUUGUUUGUUGGUAGAACACAAAUUCUGGUGCUCACAAUAUGGCCUCUUUGACUAGUAUUAUAGGUAAUAGAAUUUGGGUAAUAGUAUUAUGGGUACAAUUUGGCCUCUUUCUGUUUCUGUAGUUGUUUGCUGUUCCGUGUAACAUUAAUGGCUGUGUUUCAGCUUGUUCUUAAUGAAUUAUGUUUAACCUCAAAAAAAUGUUGUGUAUCAUAUUGCUACUUUGGUUGAUUAUAUUGUUUUGGGAUGCAA